rnacentral:rRNA from 1 species
CAGACCGUAAACGAUCCUUGCUAAUUGCUUGAUUCUUCGAAUUGAGUGAUGUAAGCUAACGCGUUAAGCAAGGCGCCUGGGGAUUACGACCGCAAGGUUAAAACUCAAAGGAAUUGACGGGGGAGCGCACAACCGGUGGAGCAUGUGGUUUAAUUCGAUACAAAGCGAAAAACCUUACCUGGGUUUGACAUGUAACUGCACGGUCUAGGAAACUAGAUCUUCUUCGAGAGUGUUACACAGGUGU